rnacentral:rRNA from 1 species
AUUGAACGCUGGCGGCAUGCCUUACACAUGCAAGUCGAACGGCAGCACGGGAGCAAUCCUGGUGGCGAGUGGCGAACGGGUGAGUAAAGUAUCGGAACGUGCCCAGUCGUGGGGGAUAACGUAGCGAAAGUUGCGCUAAUACCGCAUACGAUCUAUGGAUGAAAGCGGGGGAUCGCAAGACCUCGCGCGAUUGGAGCGGCCGAUAUCAGAUUAGGUAGUUGGUGGGUAAAGGCUCACCAAGCCGACGAUCUGUAGCUGGUCUGAGAGGACGACCAGCCACACUGAGACUGAGACACGGCCCAGACUCCUACGGGAGGCAGCAGUGGGGAAUUUUGGACAAUGGGCGAAAGCCUGAUCCAGCCAUGCCGCGUGCAGGAUGAAGGCCUUCGGGUUGUAAACUGCUUUUGUACGGAACGAAAAGGUUUGGCCUAAUAAGCUGAGCUCAUGACGGUACCGUAAGAAUAAGCACCGGCUAACUACGUGCCAGCAGCCGCCGCAG